UGUGUUGUCUCUUUUGCUUUGUUCUCUCCUAUUGCUGAGAUACAUACAAACAGUUCCUUUGCCUGUCCAACAGAUGAUCCUUACUACUUGAUACAAAUUCAACCAUUGUGUCCCCUCUGGAAUCUACAAUAACGGCCCGCCAUAAUAGUUGCUUGUAGGGACCACCUACAGUGACCAAUUUUGGUCCACAGUGGCUGUUUCCCAUGAUGCCAAGAAGAACUGAUUCUGUCAGUGGUUGUUCGUCAUCCAGCUCGAGAUUUACAGUACUCUUCAGAGAAUUUGAAGAGAGUCAGAGUACCCUCCUUUAGAGAGUUUGAAGAGGCUGGUCCUGGGCCAAUUUGUCCUCAAAUUCCCUUCUUGGUCUGGCUCUUUUGCAAAAGAAUGGACUCCGCUGCCAGUUGGCGUAUUGCCAGUGUGGGACAGGGGAGAGAAAUUGAAGGGUGAGAGGAAGAGGGAAGACAUGCUCUGUCUGCUCCAUCUCCUUGACAGCGGCGCCUUGAUGGGCAGCAGUUGUGUUUCCUAAUGGUGCCCCAGCUCCGGAAAGGUGACCUGGACCCUGUGCUCUGAUAGUGCUGCCUCUGCCUUUUGUCCCUUCAGGCUGAGAUGGGGGAAAUAGUGGUUUGCCAUUGUUGCUAGCCUCCAGACGGCCUGGCUGUCUCGUUGGGCUCCUCAGUUUUUCAUCUCCUGUAUAAUCAUUCCCCUGCAAUAAAGUCCUGCUGUUUUAAAAAUUCAGGUGGUUUUUCAUAUGAUAUCAUUUUUAUGUGGAACCUAAAGAAACCAAACAAAUGAAUAAACAAAGAAAAAGCAGACAGACUCAUGAAUACAGAGAACCAGCUGAUGGUGGGUGAAGGGGAAGGGGGGAUGGGCAAAACAGAUGAAGGGGAGCGGGAGAUACAGUCUUCCAGUUAUGGAAUGAGUAAGGCAAGGGGCUAAAAUGCACAGCAUAGUCCAUGGUAUUAUAAUAUUUUCCGUGGUAUUAUAAUUAUAAUAUAGUUGUGUAAUAUAGUCCAUGGUAUUAUAAUAGUAUUGUAUGGUACCUGAUGGUAGCUACUAUACUUGGGGUGAUCAUAGCAUAACAUAGAG
rnacentral:lncRNA from 1 species